rnacentral:rRNA from 1 species
UGGGGAAUCUUGCGCAAUGGGCGAAAGCCUGACGCAGCAACGCCGCGUGCGGGAUGAAGGCCUUCGGGUUGUAAACCGCUUUCAGCAGGGACGAAAAUGACGGUACCUGCAGAAGAAGCCCCGGCUAACUACGUGCCAGCAGCCGCGGUAAUACGUAGGGGGCAAGCGUUGUCCGGAUUUAUUGGGCGUAAAGAGCUCGUAGGCGGUUCCGUAAGUCGUGAAGUCAAAUCUCUGGGCUCAACCCAGAAUC